rnacentral:tRNA from 1 species
GGGCGAUUAGCUCAAUUGGCUAGAGCGCGUCCCUUACAAGGACGAGGUUGCUGGUUCGAGCCCGGCAUCGCCCA